UACGAAGGUGGCUAGCGUUGUUCGGAAUCACUGGGCGUAAAGCGCGCGUAGGCGGCUUUGCAAGUCAGGGGUGAAAUCCUAAGGCUCAACCUUAGAAUUGCCUUUGAAACUGCAUGGCUGGAGUACUGGAGGGGUUAGCGGAAUUGCUAAUGUAGAGGUGAAAUUCGUAGAUAUUAGCAGGAACACCGAUGGCGAAGGCAGCUAACUGGACAGUCACUGACGCUGAGGCGCGAAAGCGUGGGGAUCAAACAGG
rnacentral:rRNA from 1 species